CUGAUGUAUUCAACGAGUCUAUAGCCUUGGCCGACAGGUCCGGGUAAUCUUUGAAAUUUCAUCGUGAUGGGGAUAGAUCAUUGCAAUUGUUGGUCUUCAACGAGGAAUUCCUAGUAAGCGCGAGUCAUCAGCUCGCGUUGACUACGUCCCUGCCCUUUGUACACACCGCCCGUCGCUCCUACCGAUUGAAUGGUCCGGUGAAAUGUUCGGAUCGCGGCGACGUGGGCGGUUCGCCGCCGGCGACGUCGCGAGAAGUCCAUUGAACCUUAUCAUUUAGAGGAAGGAGAAGUCGUAACAAGGUUUCCGUAGGUGAACCUGCGGAAGGAUCAUUGUCGAAACCUGCCUAGCAGAACGACCCGCGAACACGUUUUUACAAACCCCGGGGGGACGCGUGCGGCCCGCGCCGCAUGCCCUCCCCCGCCGCCGGGGGGCGCCCCCCGCGGGCAUCCCCCGGCGCAACAACGAACCCCGGCGCGGACCGCGCCAAGGAACAUGAACAAAUAGCGUGCCCCCCGAGCCCGGUCCGCCGGCGCGCGGUCGUGGCACCUGUCCAUACCAUUAAAACGACUCUCGGCAACGGAUAUCU
rnacentral:rRNA from 1 species